UCCGAGUUGACCCCGGCAGUCUCCUAUGAGUCCCCACCAUCACGUGCUGGCAACAUAGAACGAGGGUUGCGCUUGUUGCGGGACUUAACCCAACAUCUCACGACACGAGCUGACGACAACCAUGCACCACCUGUGCUAGCCCCUUACGGACACGGGCUUUCACCCGCUUUAACUAGCAUGUCAAACCCAGGUAAGGUUCUUCGCGUUGCAUCGGAUUAAGCCACAUGCUCCGCCGCUUGUGCGGGCCCCCGUCAAUUCCUUUGAGUUUUAAUCUUGCGACCGUACUUCCCAGGCGAGAUACUUAUCGCGUUAGCUAAGCCACAGCCGGAAUGAUUACCAGCUACAGCGAGUAUCUAUAGUUUACAGCGUGGACUAC
rnacentral:misc_RNA from 1 species